CGAACGGGUGAGUAAUAUAUCGGAACGUGCCCAGUAGUGGGGGAUAACUGCUCGAAAGAGCGGCUAAUACCGCAUACGACCUGAGGGUGAAAGGGGGGGAUCGCAAGACCUCUCGCUAUUGGAGCGGCCGAUAUCAGAUUAGCUAGUUGGUGGGGUCAAGGCCUACCAAGGCAACGAUCUGUAGUUGGUCUGAGAGGACGACCAGCCACACUGGGACUGAGACACGGCCCAG
rnacentral:rRNA from 1 species